AGAGUUUGAUCCUGGCUCAGAACGAACGCUGGCGGCGCGCCUAAUACAUGCAAGUCGAGCGAGAAGGUGUAGCAAUACACUUGUAAAGCGGCGAACGGGUGAGGAAUACAUGGGUAAUCUACCAUCGAGUGGGGAAUAACCAACCGAAAGGUUGGCUAAUACCGCGUACGCCUCCGAGUCUUCGGGUUCGGAGGGAAAGCUGCACUGUGAGUGUAGCGCUCUUUGAUGAGCUCAUGUCCUAUCAGCUUGUUGGUAGGGUAACGGCCUACCAAGGCUUUGACGGGUAGCUGGUCUGAGAGGACGAUCAGCCACACUGGCACUGCGACACGGGCCAGACUCCUACGGGAGGCAGCAGUAAGGAAUAUUGCGCAAUGGGCGAAAGCCUGACGCAGCGACGCCGCGUGGGGGAUGAAGGUCUUCGGAUUGUAAACCCCUUUCGGGAGGGAAGAUGGAGCGAGCAAUCGUUCGGACGGUACCUCCAGAAGCAGCCACGGCCAACUUCGUGCCAGCAGCCGCGGUAAUACGAAGGUGGCAAGCGUUGUUCGGAUUCACUGGGCGUACAGGGUGUGUAGGCGGUUUGGUAAGCCUUCUGUUAAAGCUUCGGGCCCAACCCGGAAAGCGCAGAGGGUACUGCCAGGCUAGAGGGUGGGAGAGGAGCGCGGAAUUCCCGGUGUAGCGGUGAAAUGCGUAGAGAUCGGGAGGAAGGCCGGUGGCGAAGGCGGCGCUCUGGAACAUACCUGACGCUGAGACACGAAAGCGUGGGGAGCAAACAGGAUUAGAUACCCUGGUAGUCCACGCCC
rnacentral:rRNA from 1 species